rnacentral:lncRNA from 1 species
UUCAGUGUCCAGCCCUCUCUGUGAUCCUGGAUUGUGGAGAACAGGUUUCAUCCCCACGGCCUUCAGACUUUUAACUUUCAGCUGCUCCUUUUCUCCUCUCUCUCAGGGAACUAAAGGGAGGGAGAAGUAAGACGUCCCUAUCCACGGCAGCAGGGUUGGAAUGAGAUGAUCUCUACUGUCCUUUCCAAGCCAAACUCUUCUGUGAUUCCAUGAAUUCAUGAAUUGGCUUUGAACAGGGAGGUGCAGUUAUCCUUGCAGACUGAAACAGUCAGGUGAGGCACAGUGGGAGCCCAUGGAGGAAGGGAGAUGGGCUUGUGAUGCUGAUCACUCUCCCUUCUAUUUCUAUUAAAAGCCCUUUCCCCCGAUCUUUUAGGCUGGGGAUGGUACCUGGGCUUUGGUCACUGUUCCCAUUCAGUCUUUUUGAAUUAGAAGUCCUUCAGAAGCAGACAUUCUUUCUUCUCUACCCGUGGAUAUCUUUUCCAAAAGGACAGAGUGUCUCCUGGAUGAUGACAGGAAUAUGAACAGGAGCUUGUGGUCGAAACAGAGGCUCCAAGGCUGUCUAGGUCCAUUUGGGUUUCACCUCUGUGGCUGGAUUCUUGGAUAUCUCACGGGGAGUGAUUCAUGCCUGGGCCUUUCUUUGUGGCAGAGCGAGUCACCUAUUUUCGCACGGCUUGUGGGCGCUCCGUGUCAGCGAGGCUCCAGCUCCUCUGCCAGGGCUGGGGGAGACUGGCCAGAGGCUUCAAAGUUUCUCAGGACUGGGAAUGGUGCAUUUUAAGACUCCCUUUUGUGUGAAAUCAAGCUAAAAACCACGAGACCACGCAGUUCCCUCUUUAUCUUCAGUGGCUCCAAGGGUCACAUUUCCCAUCUGCUCCUCCACAGACUCACGUUUUCCUUCUCGCUUUGCACGGGAGCUGGCUCUCAGUAUCCUGUUGUGGAAGCUGGGAUUCUGGUGGGAUUGUCCCUCCCAGGGUGCAUCAGCUCUGACCAGACCAGGUGGGAUAAGAUCCAGAGCAGCUGGUGUGGGUUUUUUACCACCCUCACCAUCACACUUCAUGUGGACCAGCACAUUUUCCACCAGGAGCUUAUUACUACUCCCGUGUCCCAAAAACGUGCCUGGAUACAUUUUCACCUGGAGGGCUCAGGAAAGGGGAGCAAGUCACCAGCUAAGCUGCCAAGAUGUCCAU